CUCUCUCUCUCUUUGUGAAACCCUCUUGAGAAAGUUUGAAGAGCUUCUUGUUUGUCGUAAAUCCUCGCAUUCGUGUGCUGCUUUGUAUCUCCAUCUUCUUCUGAUCUCGUAGUAUCUCUUCAUCUUGGAGUUGAUUAGAUCUCGAUUUGUGAAACCCUUGAAGUUUGUGCUUGAUCGAAGUACCUUUCUUUGGUUUUUUCAUCGAUUGAAUUGUUUUAGGGCUUUCGGUUUGAUGCAUUAAGGUGUUUGAUCUCGUGUUUUGAUGUGUUUGUCAUGAUUUGUGGUAUUUAGGGUUGGAAUUUGUUAAGAGCUCAAAUUCUCGCUCCUCCCUACCCCUUAAUUUGCACAGCCACAUCCCUCCAACCGCUCCUACAAAAGCACAAAAAGAAAGGAGCAAGACUUCUUUCCACCGAAGCCACCUCAACAUUAAUUAAGAGGAUGACUUCAAAAAUAGAGAAUAAAGGAUAUACAGGAUUGUCAACAACAAUAACUUCAAUGGAAGCAUUCCUUCAACACUGAACCUAGUGCCGACAUUAGAGGCUCUAUAAGUUUAUCUAAAGAGAAAUUAACAAAUGCAAUGCAUUGAGAUUUACUACUUGAAACAUUCUAACAAGCGUCUCGAUCGAAAUAAAUUAACCGGGCAAGUACCUCCCACCCUUAAUAGCCUUGCUAGCAUCAAAGAACUGUGAGAAGAAAUAUUUUUGUUGAAAACUUUAUAAUGUUUCAUGUAAAUAAUAUACGAUCAGUGAUCAUUGUUUCCAUUUCUGGUAUUUAUCGAAUAAUAUGUUAUCUGGUCCUUGCCAAACUUAAUUGGAAUGAAUGCACUCUCUUAUGUGUAAGUGCUAGAUUUUCAGUGAUUUCUGAAUCACUUUGCUGAUUUUUUUUAAUAAUUAGUUUUUUGCUUUCAGGGACUUGAGUAACAAUUCCUUUGGUGCAUUAGACGUGCCUUCAUGGUUCUCAACCUUGCCAUCUUUGACAACACUGUACAUCACUCUCUCUUUCUCUGGAUUAUUCAUUCAACUUAAUAUUUCUAAUGUGCAUAUGUUUAAACUGCAGAUUACUCAAAAAACACAUGUUCAAGGCCAGGUACCAGCACAACUAUAUAGUUUUUCACCAUUACAGACUGCGCAAGUCUUGGUCUUCUUCCAAUGUUCAUUUAUCUAAUAAGUAUAGUCUUGCAUUAACUAACUACAAGGAAUACAAACGGCUAAAAAAUAACUCAUUAUCAAUGCAAGUCUUGGUCUUCUUCGAAUGUUCAUUUAUCUAAUGAGUAUAGUCUUGCAUUAACUAACUACAACGAAUACAAACAGCUAAAAAUAUUAAACUAGGGAUUGUUCAAGGCCAGGUACCAGCGCAACUAUUUAGUUUUUCAUCUUUAUUCACAUGACAUUAUAUCUACAUUGCACGGAUACAAAGAAACAAACAAAGCCAAUUCACUUCAGUAACAGUACCACUAGACCCAUGGACACCGUCACACAUCUUGAACCCCUUAUUAUUAUUAUUAUUAUUAUUAUUAUU